GAACAGAGCAUCAGUGAGUUGUGGGACAUCUUUAAGUAGUUUCCUACAUGUGUAAUUAGUCUAUAAAGGAUCAAAAAGGACAGAAAAUAUAUUUGAAAAAUUAAUGGCCACAAAUUUUCAAACUUGAUGAAAACUGUGAAACUACAGAUCCAAGAAGCUCAGUAAACCCCAAGCACAAGAAAUGUGAAGAAAACUACAAGUCACAUCAUAUUCAAAAUUGUUAAAAGCAAUGAUGAACAGGA
rnacentral:lncRNA from 1 species